ensembl:lncRNA
UAGCGUUGAAAACACAGCUUAGCAAAUUAAUUUAUCGAUUCAAUAGCCUUCUAAGAAUUGCCAACCCAAUCUGUCUGUAAAAAUGUGGCGUUCAGUAUUCAGCCGCACAACUUCUUCAGACACUGAUGGCUUUGAGGAGCUUGACAGCUGUUAUUUGGAGCCUGAUGGGUUCCUUUUACCGAUUUUUGAUUCCAGAGAUGAACAGUUACCCACCUCUGAAACAACUGAGGUUCCCGAAAAUCCCGAACCAAAUGACCAGUACAGUCAUACAAUUCCUUCAGAUACUGAUGUCUUUGAUUGUACAGAAUAUUAUUUUGAAGAUGAUGGGCCCGUUUUCCCAAUUAUUGAUUCCGGAGAUGAACAGUUACCCACCUCUGAAUCAACUGACGUUCCUACAAGUAGUGAUACUGAUGGCUUUGAGGAGCUUGACAGCUGUUAUUUAGAGCCUGAUGGGUUCCUUUUACCGAUUUUUGAUUCCAGAGAUGAAAAAUUACCGGCCUCUGAAACAGCUGACAUUCCUACAAGCAGUAAUGUCUGUGGAAAUCUGCAACCCAGACAAAAGUAUAGUCAUACAAUUCCUUCAGAUACUGAUGUGUUUAUGCUUGAAGGAUAUUAUUUAGAACCUUAUGCGCCUGUUUUACCGAUUUCUUAUUCUAGAGAAGAACAGAGUGAAAGGAAUGGAAAAAAUGUUGUCAGAGAAAGUCUUCAAAGAGAGGAAGGAGAAACAAUUUUUUCCCGAGUUCAAACAAGCCUUUCAGCUCUUUCUUCCUUUAUUAUGGCUCCAGUUGAGUCUGUGGGCCGAGGAGUCAUUUAUGUCACCAGCCAAAUCUUUAAUAUUGGUCAAGCACCAUGUACCUCACCCACGAGUGAAUCUGAACUGUCACCCACCUCUGAAACAGCUCAGGUUCCUACAACCAGUAUUUCUGUAAACACCAAUGAAAAGGAACAGUCGACCAUCCUCCUUACUGAACCUUCAGACAUUAAUAUACCUGAAGAGAAUUUUCAAAGAGAGGAAGCAGAAACUAAUACGUCCAGACUCCAUAAAAGAAUUGCGGAUCUUUAUUCCUCUUGUACAUCUCCAGAGUCUGUGAGCCAAAAAGAAACUACUGAGGUUCCCACACCGAGUGUUUCUGUAAACACAGACGAAAAUGAAGAGUCACCCACAUCUAAAAGAUUUGUAGAUUCGAGGGAGCGUUAUAAUACACCCGACUCUGCAUUCUUGUUUGAACCUGAGAACACAACAAGGGAACAAAGAUUCAAUUUGACACCUAAAAGUGAGGAAAGAGCUGAGGUUCCCACAACCAGUGUUCAUAUGAACAACCGUGAACAUGAACAGUCUCCCACCAGUGAAACCCAGGUUCCUACAACCAGUGAUGUUCAUGAAAGACCUCAGCCAGGAGAAGGGUAUAGUUUAAAUGAAACAAACAACCCUCCCACUCCAGCUAGUAUUGCUUCAAAAAUGUUUAAAGACAACUGGGUCAUGGAUACUGUACGCAGCUGGGCAUCUUUGCUUAAACCUCGGAACACGAAAAAGGAACAAACGAUUGUAUACAGAUUUAAAAGUCCGCAAAGCAACGAAGAGUCGCCCUCUGAAACAACUGAGGUUAUCACUAUUGUUUCUGUAGAUACACAUGAAAAUGAAAAGUCAACCAACUCAAAAAGAGUUGUAUAUUCAAGGGACCAGUUUAUUAAGCCCAACUCAACGGAGGUUCCUACAAGCAAUGUUCAUAUGAACAACUCCGAAGAUGAAGACACUUCGACCAGUGAGAGUUAGAGCACUGAUUUAUUCAAUGGCGUCCUUCCAGAACCUUCAGAUAUUAAUAGAUCUGAAGAGAAUGAACAAACGAGCAACGCAAGUAUUUUUUCCAGAGUUUACACAAACCUUUCAGGUUUAUAUUCAUUUAUUAGAGCUCCAGUUGAGUCUCUGGGACAAGGAGUAUUUUUCGCCAUCAGGCCCAUCCUUACUAUUGAUCGAGCAACAUUUAUCUUAUUGUUCAAUCUGUGCUCGGCAAUUACUCGGCGUAUGUUUCCCCAGGCCCACAGACAAAUUUCAUCCCUAAUUCCUACACUGAGAAGAUUCUUACGUGCACAUUGUUGGGCAAUUGUUAUAAUUUUUUUCUUGCAUGUAUUGACAAUUGCACUCUUCAGCAUGAAAAGAUCUAAUUAGUUCAAUCACUAAUUCCAACAAACACACCCCACUUGCUAUAACAACAUUUUCACAUGAAAUUCAAUAUCCUAAGCAUAAAAUGACAUCACGAUUAUCCCCCAGCCAGUCGCAGCAGAUGGCUGCUCCUAUGAGUCUGGUUCUGCUGGAGGUUUCUCUCUGUUAAAAGUGAGUUUUUCCUCCCCACUGUCGCCUUUGUGCUUACUCAUAGGAGAUCAUUUGAUUGCUGGGGUUUUCUCUUUAAUACUGUGUGGUUUUAACUUUACAGUAUAAAGAGCUUUGAAGUGCCUGUUGUAACUUGGCACUAUUAGAUAGACUUCAACUGUCUUCAACUGACA